CGGAUCCUACGGGGGGCAGCAGUGGGGAAUAUUGGGCAAUGGGCGCAAGCCUUACCCAGCAAUACCGCGUGAGUGAAGAAGGUCUUCGGAUUGUAAAGCUCUUUGAUCAGGGACGAACAGAUGACGGUACCUGAAGAACAAGCCCCGGCUAACUACGUGCCAGCAGCCGCGGUAAUACGUAGGGGGCAAGCGUUAUCCGGAUUUACUGGGUGUAAAGGGAGCGUAGACGGAAAGGCAAGUCAGAAGUGAAAACCCAAGGCUCAACCAUGGGACUGCUUUUGAAACUGUCAAACUAGAGUACGGGG
rnacentral:rRNA from 1 species